GGGCGUGCCUGCGGGACUGUCCUCGGUGCGCAGCACGCUGGGCGCCGCACCCCCCGCUUCGCCUCCCGUCAAGGCUUCAAGAACUGGAAGAGGAAAGAAUUUAAAAGGCACCACUCCCUCCAUACCCAGCAUAUUCCUAGAUACUUCACUUUUCAACUGUUCUCUUUAAGAGGAUGAGCCCUGGGUACCAUUAUAGCACCAGCACCAUUGUUGAAGUGCAUUCCCUCCUGGCCAGGGCUAUGAGACAAGGCUCUGCCUCCAUACAAGAUCUUUCUGAACCAGUGUGGAUGGGGGAAUCUAACACUGAAAGCGGAGGGAAUUCUGUCUCCCCUUGACCACAUUGCUUCUCUGUUUUCUCCUACUGCUCCCCUGAGCUCUUGAUUUCUGUUUUUGCCUAAAUAGGGGAGAGAAGCCAGCAGGGAAUUGCAGCCACACAGACACACACACACACACACACACACACACAGACACGGUCCCUGCUCUCCUUCCCUACCCAUGACCUGCUUCCACGAGCCUGCAUUUUUGUCCUUCCUUCCUUCCACUCAAACCCUGAAACACUUGGCUUGCUUCUUCCAGGUAAGGUCUUUAGCCUCACACAGCUUUCCAAAGACUUGUUGUUGUCUAUUGUUGCAGCAAGCCAGACAAAAGCAGGCUUUCCCCUCCACAGGCAGAGCCAGCUCUCAGGACCUGCCUUCUCCCUCCUUGCAUACUCAGGGAUACAAGCACGAAGCCACACACACACCUUAGUCCUCUUGAGAGGUUUGCAUUCCUCUUGACAACUAAGGAAAUGCAGCUGGAGCGACUCUGAAGCACCUUGCUUGGCAAGUGCUGUUGAAUCUAUGGGCUUCUCAAACUCACACGCAAUCCCUGGCUCCAGCAUUCUUGGUUUUCUUACCACUUGAUUCUGUGGACAAGCCAAGCUUAAGUGUAUUUUAAACUAUAUUUUAUUUAAGUUAUUAGUGCUUAUGCUAGUGUGUGUGAUUUUUAGAUCUCCCAUAAAAUGCCUUAAAUACAGAAGACAUUAGGUCAUUAAAUGGGGAAGAAUAAAACAGAUUAAAAUAAAGCGAGACACCAUGAGAUCCAUAUGUUAUCUUGGAUUUUAAUUAAAAAUAAAGAUCCUGGCAGAGUGUAAUCACGCACACCUUUGAUCCCUGCAGCAGGUGGAUUUCUCUGAGUUCGAGGCCAGCCUGGUCUGCAUAGACAGUUCCAGGACAGCCAGGGCUACACAGAUAAACCCUGCCUCAAUCAGUCAAUUGACCAGUCAAUAAGUCCUAGUAUGACAAGUGCCAAGGGCCAAGUUUCCCAGGGUGAACUCUGUUUAUUCUCUGUAUAACAAACAAUGAAACAUCGCUGCUGCGGCUCAUCAGUUAACAGCGCUCAGGGCUCUUCAGAGGGUUUGGGUCCCAGCACCCGCAUGGUGGCUCACAACCACCCAUAAAUCAAGUUUCCAGGGAACCUAAUUCCCUCUUCUGACCUCUGUGAGCAUCAGGCACACAGGUGGGACAGAUAUGUAUGCAGACGAAACACUCAUACACAUAAAAUAAUAAAUCUUAUAAAAUAGGAGAAGUUAGGAGACGAUUCCCAACUAAAGCACAACAGUGGAGGGCACAGGAGUCCUGUGUAACUCUAUGGCCCUCAAAAGAAAAUGGCUUCAAGUUUUCAACUCUCUAUCCAGCUUAUGGAAGAAAUUCGGGAAGUUGCAGAUAAUGACUGCAGGUGUGUCAGAUCCCAGGGAGUGGAGAAAACUAAACUGUCAGGACCUGGACUUUCCCAGUCUUCUCUUACCUCAUUUGUCUGAAAGUCCAAAUAACCUUUCUCCUUCUCAGACUCAAAGCAAGCAGUGCCCUAAACCUUGGGAGCAGAGGAUUGCUCCUUGGUGAAGCACCGAGCUUUAUGUCACACUGAGCGUCAUGCCCCAGACGGUUGGAAUGUGCCUUGGCUUUCAUUCGCCCCUCUGAAUGGGCAGGAGAGGGCUCUGAACUAUUCGACCCACCCACUGUCCUGAACACUCUUGGUGAGCCAACUGAGACGGAGAAACGCUUCACGGAGGGAGUUGUAAGCUUUCUAGAAUGUGAAGAACAAAUGGCUCAGAAUUAGCAAUCAUAGAAGGCAGGUUGUCUUUCCUUUUCUGAGGGUGUGCACAGGCUUUGAAGCCCUCCACCAUAAAAGCGAAUGAGCUGAAACCCUUUCAGAACAAUUAAUCUCUGCACUUUAAUAUCCCAGCGCCCUGGAAACCCUCCAUAAAUUGGGGUUGUAUCAUAGAACUAAAUGUCUUUCAGAUAGCCCCUAGCUGUGGGAGGGGAGCACCAACUGCCACAGUCCACACUUCCCAGGCCCAAUACGACCCUUCUCUAUUUGUCACCAAUAAAGAUGGAGCAAGUCUCUC
rnacentral:lncRNA from 1 species